rnacentral:rRNA from 1 species
CAGCAGCCACGGUAAUACGUAGGUGGCGAGCGUUGUCCGGAAUUAUUGGGCGUAAAGGGAGUGUAGGCGGCCUUUUAAGUCUGAUGUGAAAGCCCACGGCUCAACCGUGGAGGGUCAUUGGAAACUGGGAGACUUGAGUGCAGAAGAGGAGAGCGGAAUUCCAUGUGUAGCGGUGAAAUGCGUAGAUAUAUGGAGGAACACCAGUGGCGAAGGCGGCUCUCUGGUCUGUAACUGACGCUGAGGCUCGAAAGCGUGGGGAGCAAACAGGAUUAGAUACCCGGGUAGUCCCUGUCUCUUAUAC